ACGAGACCUGCCUUUGGCCAAAAAAUUUCCGUACAUGUUUGUUUGCGUAAUAAUUUAUUUAUAUGAACGAUCCUUGUGUAAAACAUAAAACUCAAUUAUUCUGAAAAGGGAAAACGAUGGUGGCCUUACUUGCCGCUGCUACGUAUGGCAGUCGAUCAUGCAUGCACUUUGGUAAGGGAAGCAGGACAUAUCAUAUAGUCUCGACCGCAAGUCCUUAUUCACGCCUCCACUUCUCUUCGUCGUCUCCUCAUCCGGCGCGCUGCGUUGGCAUCGCCAGGAGCCCAGCUCCUCCCCCUCGUCUUGCUUCUUCUCCUUCUUCCAGCGCCACCAGUAGCCCAACUCCUCCAUCUCUUGCUUCUUGUUCUUUUUUGCACUGUUGGAAGCAGGUGUCGUAGUUUUUCGCGUGGCGGCAGCGCAGAUGGCAGUUUGGUAGGUCUCCCAGAUGCACGCCCUGCAGGCACGCGGCAUGGCAGGGUUUCAAGUCCUCCCGGUCGCCGCAUAGCGCCUUGCAGGAGGAGUUUGGGUUGCUCCUAGCCGCCGCCGCGCCGACGAUGAGCAGGGCUAGGGCUAGGACUACACUUGCCAUAACAAGGUGGUCGCCGCUGCUACGCUUCGUCUUGGAACCCAUACCCAUGGCUAUCUAUCUUGGUGGCUGCCUGUGUAGCUAAAAAUGUGCCUUGCUGCAGGGUGGAUGGAUUGAGGAGACGGCGAUACACACAUAUAUAAAGAGGUAAGUUGAGCUAGCUAUAGCCUUUUGAUGAAUAUGAUCCAUGGAAUCGUGUCGGCCACCACCACAAGGGCCACGCAUGCAAGAGUUAUCGAUCCAACAUGUGCUUGUGUGCAAUGCAUGUGUACUGAUGGAUCCGAUCGUAGUAUUCAACUUCCUCUUCAUGUACUACUUGUUGGAUUAAGAGGCCGGAGUUAUGCCCUUCUCAAUGAAGAACUUAAACAACUGUUUGCACCCAUGUGACAAUUAAUGCAUACAAUCUUCCUUGUUUGACCAGAUCACGCAGAUUAAGACAAUAUACGUGGAUCAGCUGCAUGCAUGCCACAUGCUCACUUUGUUUAUUGGUUAUGCGUGUUGCGAACACAACACAUAGUAGAAAUGUUACAAUAUUACAAUAUGUGUAAAACUAUGCACACACAUAGUACAAAUAAUACAAUAGAGCAGUCUAAUGCAUGUGCACUUUUUUUAAAUAAAAUGUGUUCACACACAUCUUCCAAUAUUUCUACCUUCGGUAAUUGGCAGUUUGGCACGUAGGAAAAAUGAUAUGGAUGAACCAUAUAUAUCAAUUAUGUCACAACAAUUCAUAUAUGAAACUGAAGCAUGACAAAGAAAUGAUAGACACCUUUUAUGAACAAUUGAAAAAAUAGUUGACGAAACAUAUCGGCAUGUGAUCUAGUUUCGAAGAACUCGUCGCGAGAAAGCAAAUGGUGAAAACAGAUCAUCGAUUGAAUUAACGGUUUUGUAGAUAAAACUUUUUAAAUUUCAAACAUCAAAAGGAAUUGCACGUUGUUUGUAGCAUGCAAAACUAUUUCCCCUCCCUAAUCUAAUGGUCUCAUGCGAUAUGCUUAGAUUAGACUGGUCGGUCUGCCCGCCGCACGGCAACGUAGCCGUGCGCACGUUGCCAAUUAAAUUUUCCCAUAAUAAAUUGUAGCGCUUUUCCAAUUUUGAAAAGCAAGUGUCGCUGAUAAAUGGUGGAUAGUCCGGAGAUGAUAUAUCUAUAUACCCUUUCCCUUGAAAUCAUCUAACCCAUGUUCAGUAGCAAAGCAUGCAGGAACGAAGUUACAAAAUAAAUCUGGUGAUGACAUAUGUACUAAACUGGUUUUACUUUUACAAACAAGCUGUUAGAAUUAAUGGGCUUGGCCCAUAUACAAAUUCUAAAAUCUUAAAUUGAGCUCAUGAGUAAAAUGACAGGUGGUGGUGUGGUGCUGCUAAAGUUUAGUCCCAUAGGCUAGUUGAUGAAGAGUUGGACCUCUUUAUAUAGCGAGUUCUCCCACCACACUAAGUGUGUGUUGAGAAGAGGAAGUAGAAGACCACACGCGUGCGCUCGCUCACCUCGCCUGGACAGACCGGGCGGCGCGUAUGUGCAACAUGCGCGUGAAUGGUCCACCGAAUUCCGUUCCGUUGCCUUGCGGGGGCACGGCUUCAUUUUUCCGUUUUAUUUUUAUGUCUUGGCAGACAAGUUGAGGAUUUCUUGUCCAGUAAAUAAACGACUUGGCAACCAAGUCGGUUCGAGACGUGAUCGCGACACGGUACCGGCCUUGGUCCUCCUAUAUAUAUUGCUUACUCGUGACACGGUACCAACCUUGACCCUCCUAUAUAUAUUGCUUACCGUGGUCAGCCAAAGACACACCGAAAACACCUAGGGUUUUGCCUUGUCUCACAACUUGCGCGGCCGUUGUAGUCUACCUCAUCUCGAACGCCGGCGUGCAUCGACGUGCGAGAGGGCAGGUCUCUGGAACCGUUCGUCUUUGCGAUCCUGCACCGGGAGAGGACGAAUUAGGUUUUUCGGAAGCGUUUUACGCGACUGCUCAAAUCCUUCACCAUGGGUUGUUUACCAUCGAAGUCGGGAGGUGCUACUCAUCGUCGUCUUCAUCACCAUCAACAAAAGAUCAUCGCCAACAUCCUCAUCAACAAAGUUGCUCCUGCUGCAACUAACGAACAGUAUGUUACUCGUAAUCUGUUAAUGUUCUUCGUUGUAGUUGCUACUUCGUGCGCGGUGAUGAUGUGUAUGUUCGGUUGCUUUUCUAGAUUGCUAGAGUAUUGCAUACUAUCUUCUGUUCUAGUCAUGAAUUAUUUAUGGAAAUUAAUCAUGAACUUGCCUAAUCUUCCAACAAUCCAAAAACCUAAUUGUAGGCAAUUUCCUGAGUUAAUUAUGGUUGGAUUUGCUGAUGCACUGAGGCCGGAUAAGUUUACCGGUGUGCAAUUCAAGAGGUGGGAAGUGAGAUCCACGCUCUAGCUUAUUGCUCUGAAAGUUUUCCAUGUUAGUGCUGCCGUGCCAGAGGGAGCUUCUGAUGAAGAUCAGAGAAAAUUGAGGAAGCCAACACUAUGUUUGUGGAAUGCAUUUUGAGUGUUUUUACUGACCGUUUGUGUGAUGUGUACAUGCACAUACAAGAUGUAAAGACAAUGUGGGAUGUGUUGAAAGCUAAGUUCGGCACGACAGAUGCACGCAGUGAACUGUACAUCAUGGAGAAUUUUUACGACUACAAGAUGGUAAACAACCGUUUUAUGGUUGAACAAGCUCAUGAGAUACAGUGUAUUAUGAAGAAGCUGGAACUCCUUAAGGGUGGAUAGAUUGAGGAGACGGCGAUACACAUAUAUAUAUAAAGAGGUAAGUUGAGCUAGCUAUAGCCUUUUGAUGAAUCUGAU
rnacentral:lncRNA from 1 species